GACGAACGCUGGCGGCGUGCUUAACACAUGCAAGUCGAGCGGUAAGGCCCUUUCGGGGGUACGACGAGCGGCGAACGGGUGAGUAACACGUGGGUGACCUGCCCUCAGCUCUGGGAUAAGCCUGGGAAACUGGGUCUAAUACUGGAUAUGACUCCACGGUGCAUGUCGGUGGGGUGGAAAGCCUUGUGCGGCUGAGGAUGGGCCCCGCGGCCUAUCAGCUUGGUUGGUGGGGUGANGGCCUACCAAGGCGACGACGGGUAGCCGGCCUGAGAGGGCGACCGGCCACACUGGGACUGAGACACGGCCCAGACUCCUACGGGAGGCAGCAGUGGGGAAUCUCGCGCAAUGGGCGAAAGCCUGACGCAGCGACGCCGCGUGAGGGAUGACGGCC
rnacentral:rRNA from 1 species